ACAUGCGCUUUCUUCUCCUUGGAGUAUCUUUUCCUCCCCCAUCUCAUUACCUUCCAACCCCCUCACCUUUGAGCCUCAGCUGAACUUCUUUAGGAAGUGCCUCCCUACCUCCCAGACUCCAAGGCAGCAGUCUCCAGGCCCCUGUGGCUGCUGAGCUCCUGAGAUGUGGCCAGUGCCAUUGAAGAAGGGAAUUUCUAAGCUCAUUCUGGGGGAGAAGCCUCACUACGCUGACAGUUCUUGCCUGGGACAGUGCAUUCCAU
rnacentral:lncRNA from 1 species